ensembl:lncRNA
GUUAAGACUUUGCCUUUUGCAGAGGGUGUGGGUUCAAUCCCUGGUCAGGGAACUAAGAUCCUGCAUGCCUUUCUAGCAAAAAAACAAACAAAACAUAAAAAAUAAACAGUAUUAUAUUUUUAAAAAUUCAAUAAUGACUUAAAAAAUGGUCCACAUCAAAAAAAAAGUUAAAAAAGUAAAAAAUAAAUACUGGCGGGUAUAUCAAACACAUGUCUUCUGCGCUGGCAGGUGGAUUCUUUACCGAGGGAGCCCAAAAUAAGGUUGAGAAAACCAUUUACUUAAAGAGCAAAAAGUCUUCCCUAGUAGAUCAGACCGUAAAGAAUCUGCCUGUAAUGCAGGACAUCUAGGUUCAAUCCCUGAGUCGGGAAGAUCAAUCCCUGGAGGAGGGCAUGGCAUCCCACUCCCAGUAUUCUUGCCUGGAGAAUCCCAUGGACAGAGGAGCCUGGCAGGCUACAGGCCAUAGGAUCACACAUAGUCGGACAGGACUGAAGCAACUUAUCAUGCAAAAAGAGCAAAGAAGAGGAAAAUGAGCAUCUCAUAAACUAGGUUGCUAAUCAGACAGUUUGCUUAAUGAUUUCAUUGACUCUUUCUCUAAUUCACUGUGAGAUUAUGUGCUCAGUUCGCUUGUUAAAGUGUCAGCACGAAAGUGUGUUUUUUCAACGGAAGGAUAUUUAUUGCAAGGUCAAACACAUACACACACGCACACUGCCGUCCCCACCUUAACGUGCAAGAGAUCAGCAUGAGCAUCUCACGUUUUUCCCAUGAAACUGGUUGUUCGUUGGCAUUUCAAAAUAUAUCUCAUUUCAUAUUGAAGAGAGUAAUACUGUCUACCUGGAAAUAUUCUCCACACUGGCCAAAAUAAAUACAUUUUAAAAUUCAAAAGAUAAAAAAAAAUUCAAAAGACGAGGGUGACAUAUUUUUCAUUUUUGCCUUCAGAUUUGAUGAAAAUUAAGAGCAGACUUUAGAAGCAGAUACUAUGAUUUCGUAACAGGGGCAAAAGCAUUUGCAGUGAAAAGAACCCUUUGGGACGUUCUUGCACUUUGUGAAACAAUGGUUAGGGUGGAAUUCGUCUUUCUGCACGUCAAAUAUUUAAAAACAGCUGUUUUUUGUUUGGGGGCUUUAUUCCUGAAAGAAGCUUGUUCCCGCCCCUAAAUUUCCUGGCAUCCUUAAUGGCUUUUGCUCAUGCCCUUUGGGAAAUGCAAUUAUGAUUUCCUGAUUUAUUCAUUUAUUACAAUUUCGUAAAAUAAAUGAGAAAUUCAUGUCCAUCCUUAUGGCUCCCUGAUAGAAAGAUGACUGUGACUUUUACAUCCUGGCAUAGGGAACAAUGCUCUAAAAAUAUUCCUUUUUAUUAUUGUCCAGAACAUACGGAAAACGUUUAGAAUAAUUUCCCUUUAGCUGAAUGAGAGAAAAACCUUUAAAAUACGUAACCAUUUCUAAGGUAGCAUGUUUGGACAGGUAGUAGGCAAGACCCUUUGGACUAAAGUCUUUCUCUUCUUUCUUGUGGCUUGGAGUUUUUCUCUGCAUUUGGAGCUGAUGUUCAUUAGAAGAUUUCAAGAAACCAGAUGUCACAAAUGUCUGUUCAAGGGUCUAAAAAUUUCAAGAGUUUACUUUUGUAGUCCUUUGCGUUGGGCUUUAAAAAUACAAGCCUUUUUGAAACUGGAUGUGGUUCCUAAGAGAAAUACAGUAAAACAACAAGGCCUGCUCCUACCAGUGAGAUUUGUGAGUGACAACACUUAAAAAGGUCAAGGACUUCAAGUUAUAAAACGAGGUCCAUCCAUGUAACUGCUGCUGCCGCUGCUGCUGCUUGUCACUUCAGUCGUAUCCGACUCUGUGCGACCCCACAGAUGGCAGCCCACCAGGCUCCUCUGUCCCUGGGAUUCUCCAGGCAAGAAUACUGGAGUGGGUUGCCAUUUCCUUCUCCAAUGCACAAAAGUAAAAAGUGAAAGUGAAGUCGCUCAGUCAUGCCCG